rnacentral:rRNA from 1 species
UACGUAGGGGGCAAGCGUUGUCCGGAAUCAUUGGGCGUAAAGAGCGUGUAGGCGGCCCGAUAAGUCCGCUGUGAAAGUCCAGGGCUCAACCCUGGAAUGCCGGUGGAUACUGUCGGGCUAGAGUCCGGAAGGGGCGAGUGGAAUUCCUGGUGUAGCGGUGAAAUGCGCAGAUAUCAGGAGGAACACCAAUGGCGAAGGCAGCUCGCUGGGACGUGACUGACGCUGAGACGCGAAAGCGUGGGGAGCAAACAGG